rnacentral:miRNA from 14 species
UCACCUGGGGAUCUUGUUAAAAUGUAGUUUCUGGUUUUGUAGGUCUGGGGAGACCUUAAGAUUCUGCAUUUCUAAUAAGCUCUCCAACGAUGC